AGAUUAUGGAGAAUUUGAUAACUUGAUUAUUCCCUCAAUCUAAUUGGGAUUUAUAAUGUUUACACUAGUCUACAAAAUAGGAAUAUACAGAUUUUUAGGCUAAUUUAUAGAUCCUAAGAAUAUUACACAUGAUUAUAGCAAUUUAAUUAGCCAAGGAUUAAGGCAACAAUCUCAACACUCCCUUGCAAGCUGGAGUGUACAUGUCAUGUGUUCUUAGGUUGUUAUAAUUGUAUUCAAUUUGAGAACCUAUGAAGGAUUUAAUAAGGACAUCUACUAACUGGUCAUUUGAAUUGCAAAAACUAGUGGCAGUACAUCAUGACUCAAUCUUUUGUUUGAUAAAGUGGCAAUCCAUCUCUGUAUGUUUCGUACUUUCAUGAAAAACCAAAUUAGAGGUGAUAUAUAAAGCAACUUGAUUGUCACAUCAACUUCAUUUGUUUAACUUUCCCAUACUUCAGCUCUUCAAGAAGUUGCUUUAGCCAGAUAAGUUCGCACGUUACAAAGGCUAUAGUUCGAUAUUCAUCUUCUGCACCUGAUUUGGCAACCCUAUCUCGCUUUUCACUCUAAAAAGAUAUUAAAUUCUCUCCAAUCAUAAUACAAUGUCCUAAAAUAGAUUGCCUAUCUAAAUGGGAAUCUGCCUAGUUCGCAUUUGAAUACCCCACAAUUUGUGAGUGAUCUUUGUCUUCAUAUAGCAAACCUUGU
rnacentral:misc_RNA from 1 species